UGGGGAAUAUUGCACAAUGGGCGAAAGCCUGAUGCAGCAACGCCGCGUGAGUGAUGAAGGCCUUCGGGUUGUAAAGCUCUGUCUUUUGGGACGAUAAUGACGGUACCAAAGGAGGAAGCCACGGCUAACUACGUGCCAGCAGCCGCGGUAAUACGUAGGUGGCAAGCGUUGUCCGGAUUUACUGGGCGUAAAGGAUGCGUAGGCGGAUUUUUAAGUGAGAUGUGAAAACCCUAAGCUUAACUUGGGGACUGCAUUUCAUACUGGAAAUCUAGAGUGCGGGAGAGGAGAAUGGAAUUCCUAGUGUAGCGGUGAAAUGCGUAGAGAUUAGGAAGAACACCAGUGGCGAAGGCGAUUCUCUGGACCGUAACUGACGCUGAGGCAUGAAAGCGUGGGUAGCAAACAGGAUUAGAUACCCUGGUAGUCCACGCCGUAAACGAUGAGUACUAGGUGUAGGAGGUAUCGACCCCUUCUGUGCCGCAGUUAACACAAUAAGUACUCCGCCUGGGAAGUACGAUCGCAAGAUUAAAAACUCAAAUGAAUUGACGGGGGUCAUAGCUGUUUUCCU
rnacentral:rRNA from 1 species